rnacentral:rRNA from 1 species
UACAGAGACUGCAAGCGUUAUUCGGAUUCACUGGGCGUAAAGGGUGCGCAGGCGGCCAAGUGUGUGAGGCGUGAAAGCCCGGGGCUUAACCCCGGAAUUGCACCUCAAACUACAUGGCUAGAGCAUUGGAGAGGGUAGCAGAAUUCAUGGUGUAGCAGUGAAAUGCGUAGAUAUCAUGAGGAAUACCAGAGGCGAAGGCGGCUACCUGGACAAUUGCUGACGUUCAGGCACGAAAGCGUGGGGAGCAAAAGGG